UUCCGGUUGAUCCUGCCGGAGGCUACUGCUAUUGGAGUUCGAUUAAGCCAUGCGAGUCUAAGGGGUACUUGUACCCCUGGCAUAAUGCUCAGUAACACGUGGAUAAUCUACCCUUAGGUGGGGCAUAAACCCGGGAAACUGGGGCUAAUUCCCCAUAGAUACAGAACGCUGGAAUGCCUCUGUAUUCAAAGCUCCGGCGCCUAAGGAUGAGUCUGCGACCUAUCAGGUAGUAGUCAGGGUCACGACCUGACUAGCCAACGACGGGUACGGGGUGUGAGAGCACUUGCCCGGAGAUGGUUUCUGAGACACGAAACCAGGCCCUACGGGGCGCAGCAGGCGCGAAAACUUCGCAAUGCGGGAAACCGUGACGAGGGAACUCCAAGUGUCUAUGCAAUGCAUAGACUGUUUUUCAGCCUAAAUAGCUGUUAGAGUAAGGGGUGGGUAAGACCGGUGCCAGCCGCCGCGGUAACACCGGCACCCCGAGUGGUAGCCACUAUUAUUGGGCCUAAAGCGUUCGUAGCCGGUUUAGUAAAUUCUUGGGUAAAUCGUACAGCUUAACUGUGCGGAUUCCGGGGGACACUACUAGACUUGAGACCGGGAGAGAUUAGAGGUACUUGCAGGGGAGCGUUGAAAUGUUGUAAUCCUGCAGGGACCACCAGUGGCGAANGCGUCUAAUCAUAACGGCUCUGACGGUGAGGAACGAAACCCUGGG
rnacentral:rRNA from 1 species